UUUAAAUGUAAAUUAUUAUGCUAAAGUAUUAAUAGUUAUGUUCUUUAAAUUUAAAGAUUUUGGCGGUAUUUUAGUCUAUUCAGAGGAACCUGUUCUAUAAUUGAUAGUCCACGAUUAAUUUUACUUGAUUUAAUAAUUUGUAUAUCGUCGUUUAAAGAUAAUUUUAAAAGAAUUGUAAUUUUUAAAAUUUUGAAUUAGAAAGUUUAUCAGAUCAAGGUGCAGUUUAUAAUUAAGUAGUAAUGGGUUACAAUAAAUAUAUUUAUACGGAUUAAUGUUUGUAAUAAAGUUGUAAAGGAGGAUUUGAUAGUAAUAAAAUUUAUUUUAAUUUUAUGAUUUUAGCUCUAAAAUAUGU
rnacentral:rRNA from 1 species